UAUAUUUUGUUCAAAUUAAUUUUAAGAUAUUAAAUACUAGAAAAAAUUGCAUUCUUAACUUUCUUCGUAAUCGUACGAGUAGAAACUGCAUCCAAUUUUUUAAUUUUAUCUAGACUUUUAAAUGAAAAUAUCUGGUGGAUCAGAUUUUUAUAAGAUAUGAGUAGACACCCUGUUUACUUAAACAACGAAAAUUUGAAACACUUAUCGAAUAUUGAAGUUUGCAAAGUUGUAAAAAAAUGAUCAUUUUCAUUAUUAUACUUUUUAUAUUUAUUUUGGGGCGGUCAGUGCAUACAUCCAAAAAUUAUCACAUCUAAAAACAAGCGAUUUAAAGCAUUAUAUACAAGCAUGCACAAAUUUUUAAUUUAUCUCACCAAUAUCUUAACGAAACUAUUCUCGAUAUUAUAUUCAUCAUAUGUACCCAAAGUUUCAACGAAACAUUUCUACGAAUUAUCGACUUUGUUAAGAAACAGAGUUGCGCGUUUCGUAAAAAUUAAAAAAAAACGCGAUAAUGUGAGAUGACAGUUCCUGGGGGCGAAAUAUGUCUAUGAACUAUAGAAAACUGUAAAAAAGCGAGAGUGGAAGAGUUUGAAAAGUAAUGUAAACAGUGCACAGCCGGCCUUUCGAUUGAUGACUGAAUGAAGACGAUGAUGACUGAAGUAAACAUAUGGAAACAUCCGCAGAUCCUUCGAAGCAACAGAUUGCGAGAGCGAUCGACAGUGGUUGAUCCGUGAUUAAUCCGCGCUUGCUCUCGCGGGAAAAAGAGAUAAGAGAGAUUCCUGAGGUCGGCGCGGACGCGGUUAUAUUUGGAAAACAGGGGUCUCUCUCUACGGGUCCCGGAAAUGUUAAUCUUGAUGACAAGCGGCGAGAGAAGGGGUGCGAUGCGAUAUUAAAAUACGGUAUGCUUCGCACAUGUAUCCUAUCGGGCAUCGUAUGUGAGGAGACUUUGAGGAGAAUG